ACAGAGGGCGGCUCUGCGCAGGGCACAUUCGAGUGCACUGGGUUCCUUGAUCCCGGUCUACCAACCUGAGCAAAGCCGCCACCCUC
rnacentral:antisense_RNA from 1 species